rnacentral:misc_RNA from 1 species
GAAAUGCGAUAAGUAAUGUGAAUUGCAGAAUUCAGUGAAUCAUCGAAUCUUUGAACGCACAUUGCGCCCCUUGGUAUUCCGAGGGGCAUGCCUGUUCGAGCGUCAUUUCAACCCUCAAGCUCUGCUUGGUAUUGGGCCGUCGCGGGGCGCGAAACCCCCUGCGGGCCUUAAAGCUGUGGGCGGUGGUGCUUUGCCUCAAGCGUAGUAAAGUUUAUUCUUUCGCUUUGGAGGUCGGGGCCUCACCCGCCGGACAAACCGGGCCUUUGCGCCCAUUUUUCAAGGUUGACCUCGGAUCAGGUAGGGAUACCCGCUGAACUUAAGC